UAGGGAAUCUUCCACAAUGGACGCAAGUCUGAUGGAGCAACGCCGCGUGAGUGAAGAAGGUUUUCGGACCGUAAAGCUCUGUUGUUGGUGAAGAAGGAUAGAGGUAGUAACUGGCCUUUAUUUGACGGUAAUCAACCAGAAAGUCACGGCUAACUACGUGCCAGCAGCCGCGGUAAUACGUAGGUGGCAAGCGUUGUCCGGAUUUAUUGAGCGUAAAGCGAGCGCAGGCGGAAGAAUAAGUCUGAUGUGAAAGCCCUCGGCUUAACCGAGGAAUUGCAUCGGAAACUGUUUUCUUGAGUGCAGAAGAGGAGAGUAGAACUCCAUGUGUAGCGGUGGAAUGCGUAGAUAUAUGGAAGAAUACCAGUGGCGAAGGCGGCUCUCUGGUCUGCAACUGACGCUGAGGCUCGAAAGCAUGGGUAGCGAACAGGAUUAGAUACCCUGGUAGUCCAUGCCGUAAACGAUGAGUGCUAAGUGUUGGGAGGCUUCCGCCUCUCAGUGCUGCAGCUAACGCAUUAAGCACUCCGCCUGGGGGAGUACGACCGCAAGGUUGAAACUCAAAGUGAAUUGAC
rnacentral:rRNA from 1 species